GAUGAACGCUGACAGAAUGCUUACACAUGCAAGUCUACUUGAAUUUGGGUUUUUUAACUUCGAUUUGGGUGGCGGACGGGUGAGUAACGCGUAAAGAACUUGCCUCACAGCUAGGGACAACAUUUGGAAACGAAUGCUAAUACCUGAUAUUAUGAUUAUAGGGCAUCCUAGAAUUAUGAAAGCUAUAUGCGCUGUGAGAGAGCUUUGCGUCCCAUUAGCUAAUUGGAGAGGUAACGGCUCACCAAGGCGAUGAUGGGUAGCCGGCCUGAGAGGGUGAACGGCCACAAGGGGACUGAGACACGGCCCUUACUCCUACGGGAGGCAGCAGUGGGGAAUAUUGGACAAUGGACCGAGAGUCUGAUCCAGCAAUUCUGUGUGCACGAUGACGUUUUUCGGAAUGUAAAGUGCUUUCAGUUGGGAAGAAAAAAAUGACGGUACCAACAGAAGAAGUGACGGCUAAAUACGUGCCAGCAGCCGCGGUAAUACGUAUGUCACGAGCGUUAUCCGGAUUUAUUGGGCGUAAAGCGCGUCUAGGUGGUUAUGUAAGUCUGAUGUGAAAAUGCAGGGCUCAACUCUGUAUUGCGUUGGAAACUGUGUAACUAGAGUACUGGAGAGGUAAGCGGAACUACAAGUGUAGAGGUGAAAUUCGUAGAUAUUUGUAGGAAUGCCGAUGGGGAAGCCAGCUUACUGGACAGAUACUGACGCUGAAGCGCGAAAGCGUGGGUAGCAAACAGG
rnacentral:rRNA from 1 species